GGAUUUUGGGCGUAAGGGCUCGCAGGCGGUUUCUUAAGUCUGAUGUGAAAGCCCCCGGCUCAACCGGGGAGGGUCAUUGGAAACUGGGGAACUUGAGUGCAGAAGAGGAGAGUGGAAUUCCACGUGUAGCGGUGAAAUGCGUAGAGAUGUGGAGGAACACCAGUGGCGAAGGCGACUCUCUGGUCUGUAACUGACGCUGAGGAGCGAAAGCGUGGGGAGCGAACAGGAUUAGAUACCCUGGUAGUCCACGCCGUAAACGAUGAGUGCUAAGUGUUAGGGGGUUUCCGCCCCUUAGUGCUGCAGCUAACGCAUUAAGCACUCCGCCUGGGGAGUACGGUCGCAAGACUGAAACUCAAAGGAAUUGACGGGGGCCCGCACAAGCGGUGGAGCAUGUGGUUUAAUUCGAAUCUACGCGAAGAACCUUACCAGGUCUUGACGGGGGGGGGGAAUCCUAGACACAGGACGUCCCCUUCGGGGGCAGAGUGACAGGUGGUGCAUGGGUGUCGUCA
rnacentral:rRNA from 1 species